rnacentral:rRNA from 1 species
ACAUGCAGUCGAGCGAGAAAGUUUCCUUCGGGAAGCGAGUAAAGCGGCGCACGGGUGAGUAACACGUAGGUAACCUACCUUCGAGUUCGGGACAACUGGCUGAAAAGCCAGCUAAUACCGGAUAAGACCUCGGCCUCUUCGGAGGCUGCGGCCAAAGACGGCCUCUUCUUGAAAGCUGUCGCUAGGAGAUGGGCCUGCGGACCAUUAGCUUGUUGGUGAGGUAACGGCUCACCAAGGCUUUGAUGGAUAGCUGGUCUGAGAGGAUGAUCAGCCACACUGGGACUGAGACACGGCCCAGACUCCUACGGGGCAGCAGUGGGGAAUAUUGCGCAAUGGGAAACCCUGACGCAGCGACGCCGCGUGAGUGAUGAAGGCCUUCGGGUCGUAAAGCUCUGUCGUAAGGGAAGAACUGGCUAUGGGUUAAUACCCUGUAGUCUUGACGGUACCUUACAAGAAAGCACCGGCUAACUCCGUGCCAGCAGCCGCGGUAAUACGGGGGGUGCAAGCGUUGUUCGGAAUCACUGGGCGUAAAGAGCGUGUAGGCGGCUGAUUAAGUCUGGUGUGAAAGCCCGGGGCUCACCCCCGGAAGUGCGCUGGAAACUGGUCAGCUAGAGUAUGGGA